ACCUAGUGAUGUGGACAUUUAUAGAGCAGGUCCCUAAAGCACUCCAAAGUCUCAAAAAAAGAGUUCCCCAUCCAUCUUUGAAAAACUUGUGAUGACUCUUCAAAGCU